UAUGCUGCUUUGGGUUCUCCAAAUCUCCCUGGAUGGGUUGCUGCUGGAGAUCCAUGUGGUGAUGCUUGGCAAGGCGUCCACUGCGAUGGUUCAAACAUAAAUUCAAUAAAUCUUGUUGGAGCCGAUUUGGGUGGUGAAUUGGGUGACAACAUAGGAUUAUUCACAUCUAUUAAAUCAAUUCUUGCAGUCUUUUAUUGUUGAUCUGCACGAGAAGAUGACUGACAUUAGCAUCU